CAGGCAGGAUGGUAAGUCAGUGGUGAAAGCCCGAGGCUUAACUUCGGGAUUGCCAUUGAAACUACCCUUCUUGAGUACAGUCGAAGACGGCGGAAUGAGUUAUGUAGCGGUGAAAUGCAUAGAUAUAACUCAGAACACCGAUUGCGAAGGCAGCUGUCUAGGCUGAGACUGACGCUGAGGCACGAAAGCGUGGGGAGCGAGCAGGAUUAGAUACCCUGGUAGUCCACGCUGUAAACUAUGAUCACUCGCUGUUGGCAAUAUAAAGUCAGCGGCUGAGCGAAAGCAUUAAGUGAUCCACCUGGGGAGUACGUCGGCAACGAUGAAACUCAAAGGAAUUGACGGGGGCCCGCACAAGCGGAGGAACAUGUGGUUUAAUUCGAUGAUACGCGAGGAACCUUACCUGGGCUUAAAUGUAGAGUGCAUGGAGGGGAAACCUUCCUUUCCUUCGGGACUCUUUACAAGGUGCUGCAUGGUUGUCGUCAGCUCGUGCCGUGAGGUGUCGGGUUAAGUCCCAUAACGAGCGCAACCCCUAUCGUUAGUUGCCAUCAGGUCAUGCUGGGGACUCUAGCGAGACUGCCGGUGUAAACCGGAGGAAGGUGGGGAUGACGUCAAAUCAGCACGGCCCUUACGCCCAGGGCUACACACGUGUUACAAUGGCCGGAACAAAGAGCAGCUCCUACGCGAGUAGAUGCUAAUCUCUAAAACCGGUCUCAGUUCGGAUCGGAGUCUGCAAUUCGACUCCGUGAAGGUGGAUU
rnacentral:rRNA from 1 species